UACGAAGGGGACUAGCGUUGUUCGGAAUCACUGGGCGUAAAGCGCACGUAGGCGGAUAUGUCAGUCAGGGGUGAAAUCCCGGGGCUUAACCUCGGAACUGCCUUUGAUGCAGCAUAUCUUGAGUCCGAUAGAGGUGGGUGGAAUUCCUAGUGUAGAGGUGAAAUUCGUAGAUAUUAGGAAGAACACCGGUGGCGAAGGCGGCCCACUGGAUCGGUACUGACGCUGAGGUGCGAAAGCGUGGGGAGCAGACAGG
rnacentral:rRNA from 1 species